UUUUCAUCAUUUGUCGGAACUCUGUCUGAGAAUUCGAACAAAAAGGAAAGGGAAAAAGGGAAACUGAAACAAGGAAAAAGGCUGCCAUCAACUCCUCCGUGUUGUUAAACAAAAUGUGACGUAACUUUGCAUCAGGAAAAAACAAUUACUAGGAACUUUGGGCCGACAUUGGCACUGGGUCUGGAAGGACGACAGUUUCCCGAAAAAUCAUAAAAAGCGCGUCCUUGAAAUUUGUGCACGCGUUUUUUAUUUGGAAAUAUUUUGACUGGUAGAUGUGUCGCCAGAGUGGUCGAGUCUCGGGACAGGAUAAGAGCAGUGUGUAAUUACAGUCGUCCUUCGAAUUAUUCGUCAGUGCUUUUUAGUAGCUGGGAUAACCAAGCAGCAGAAAGAGAGAAAAAAAUUGAAAAAUGAUUGGCUUGAAGCAGAAUUUCAACAAAUUCCGAGGGCAGUUAUAAAGCGACUGGUGCAAAGGAGGGACCGCAGGGGCCCCGAUUAGACGGUGGCUAGUCCUCGGCAACACAACGUUGGAAUUUGCCGAAAUCUUUAUUAAAAAUUCAACUUUUGGGAUUCUAGAUGUUGUAUUGUAGGGGUUUUCGCAUAGAAAGCUUUUCCAACCUUCGGGCCGUUCAAUAGCAACUGGAAAAACCUGGCCGUGGCAAAUGUGUGGAGGGACCAAGGAGACGAGCGUGUAAUGUGAAGAAAAUCGUUUCUGCUCUUGGCGACGUAAAUUUGCCCAAUCCAUAAAUUCUUGUGAUGUUGACUCGUUCAACUUCGAACGGGAUCGACGGGUCUUCUUGGCUCCCAAAGCGAGCGGUUUCAACUUGCUCAGUCCGACUGUUUUGCAUUUUUACGAUUAAGGCGAAAGCCAUUCUGUAAUAGGAAAAUUUAAUUAAAUGUCUCACGAUAUUUCAGUAUGGUGCAGGGCGGUCAAAUUUUCGCACCUUAUUCCGACGGACUUCAAACAGGGUCUGUAAUCGCGGGUUUUCAAUCCCGACUGCAAUCUAUUGAACUCGGGCAUACUCGAUUGGGUGUUGUUGAUUACAACAAAAGAAAUCGGAGCGUAUGCCCCAAUUGAAAACCCUAAUAGUGCCCCUUUCUACCAUGCUUACCUUGAUUUUUACCCCGAUUCCUCACCUGAAACUUGGUAAUUGUUUACUGCCCCUUACGACGAAUUCAUGUUUUCGAAUGAGAUACAUGGUAAAAAAAAACAAAUAAAACAAGCUGACAUUUUUCCUGUAAGGAUGCUAAACUUUUAAGAAGGAAAGUUCAACAUCGUCCUAGAGACCUAGACUCCUAGCUGCCAUAUCCUUUCUUUUAAGAGGCAACAAAAGUGACGAAAAUACAAGCGACAACAGUGUCAUCGCGCGGUGGAAAAACAAAGCUUGUACUCGCCGCCUGUUGAUCAUGGAAGAGAACCUAUAUAAAGCCAUGCACUUAUGUUUCAGGUCUUUUCAUUGCUAGAUAUUGACGAUGGUGGUCGUAAGUAUUGUCGUAGUCGAAUUUUAAUUUUUUAAUAUUGUAGUGGAGUUUUUGUUGCUUGUAGUUAAUCAUUACUUGAAUGUGCUGAUAAAAAUUAUUAUUUCCCCUUCUCUUUGAAACGUAUUUUUACUAAUGAAUUUUUGAAUGGGGGCCCAUGAAAAGGCGCUGCUGUGUUUUAGGUGAUGUGGUAGUCGAUAUUAAAUUAUUUGGAAUUAAGCGAAUAGUAUAUUUGUUGUAUGCAUUAUUAAAUAAUGUGGAUAAUUGUUCAAAAGUAGGGUGACCAUGGAUAACUUUGCAUUUCAACAGUUUUUUCUUCUGCUGGCACAUGCUGUCCAUGAGGCAACGUUUAAUGAAUUGCAGCUACUGUGAGUACAUAAUUUAUAAUGUUAAAGUAUGAUGAUUAAGUCUGUUUUCUAGGAUUAACACCUUAUUGUAUUAGAAGUAAUAUGUUUUACCUAAUCUGUACUACAUGGUUUGACAUGGUAUUCUAAUAUGAUUUAUUUAAAAAACUUGUUGGACCACUAUAUGAUGGCGAAGUAGCCUGGUGAUAUGCUCCUUACACGGUAACGUACCAUUUAGCAUACAUAUCUUUUCAGUGUAUGUUUUAAAGCAGUCUAAAGAAUGUAUAAUUUGUUCAAGUUUUCAUCCUUGAACAAUAAGUGUUACUGUAAUUAUUUUUCUAUACACCUGUUUUCUUUUAAGUUGGAAGAAGGUAUGCUUAGGGAAGCUCUUCUUUUUCACUCUGGUGGUCUGAUGAAGAUACAUCCUGUUGCUGCGUGGACCAUUGUUUGUUUAUUAUUACUGUGUGUUGACUCAUUACAGUCAUGAUGUUGCAUUGCAUUUGUCUCUUUGACGUGGUUGGAAUUUCUGUUCCUGUUAGAAAAACUGUUGAGGUCAUGGCUUAAUUCCAAGUUCCAUUUACCAGUUUGUAUCUUUAGGGUGAUUGAUGACAUAUGUGGUAAGUGGAGCAUUAGUGUUGGGUAAUAAUUGUAGGUCAGUAUUUAGUUAUUUGUUUUAUUUAACAACUCUUAGUGGCAGGAUGACUGAAAAACUUCCCUAGCAUAUGGACAGGGUACAUGGUGUUUGGUUGUUAUCCUGACCAUGUUGUACUCUGUGGUGGCCGAUUUAUGGUGGUGUUUUAAUAGAAUUUUGUCAAUCAAUAUGGUAUAUUGCUGAUUAAUAGUUACAUUUUUCUUUUUUUUUUGGUUUAUUAGUUAGUAGAAUUGUCAUCCGACGAUUGUGUUUCGGUUCUGAUCGAAAUUUCUACGGCCAACCGAGGGAUUUUAUAUGGUAAAUUUGGUAUAAAUUUUUUGGUGUUAAUUUGCUUAUUUCUUUCUACAGUACAAAGCGCCGUCUAUUUCAUUAUGCAUUCGCCACAGUUGAAACGCUGAAAAUGACGUCACAGAUAACGAAAUCUAACCAUAUUGAAAAUUGGAAGGAGAAUUUUUUUUUCUCAUGUUAAUUCAUUUUUAUAAAUUCAACAGUGCAUCUGUCAUUUUCUGUGGUUUUGUUUCACCUUUAUUUGUGAUAAAUCUGUGAGAUAGUCGUUAGAAAACUUGGAAGUGAUAAUCGUUAUGUGGGCACGGAAAUUACCAUUCCAUUUCCAUGUUUUCAGUGGGUUAUUGGUUUUCAAGAUUCUUACGUCGAAACUUAUUCUUAAAAGUUGUCAAAUUUCUUUUCCACGUUCUUUUUGCAAUACCACGAUUAUUUCUGAUGACGGAUCUUUCGACUGAAAUUGUUUUGCCCACACUAAUUGAUAAUGAUUUUUAAAUGAACAUUUGAGUUGACAAUAUAAAGCCUGAAAUUGAA
rnacentral:lncRNA from 1 species